AACGCUGGCGGCGCGCCUAACACAUGCAAGUCGAACGAGAAAGUGGAGCAAUCCAUGAGUACAGUGGCGUACGGGUGAGUAACACGUGGGUAAUCUACCUUUUAGUGAGGAAUAACCGAGGGAAACUUCGGCUAAUACCGCAUAAGCCUGAGAAGGGAAAGCAGAAAUGCGCUGAAAGAGGAACCCGCGGCCGAUUAGCUAGUUGGUGAGGUAAGAGCCCACCAAGGCAGAGAUCGGUAGCCGGCCUGAGAGGGCACACGGCCACACUGGCACUGAAACACGGGCCAGACUCCUACGGGAGGCAGCAGUGGGGAAUCUUGCACAAUGGGGGAAACCCUGAUGCAGCGACGCCGCGUGAGCGAUGAAGCCCUUCGGGGUGUAAAGCUCUUUCGUCAGGGAAGAU
rnacentral:rRNA from 1 species